AAUUUUUGUAAUAGCCACUUGUCCAAACACUGUUUUCUCCACUGAUUUUAGUUGGCACCUUCAUCGCCUAUAGAACUAUUAUACUUGAAGCUGUUUCUGACUUGUAUACAUUGAUCUCUCUGUGUGCACCUGUGCCAAUCCCACCAUGCUUUAAUGAAGAUACCUUUAUAAUACAUUCUAUAUCUAUGAGGGCAAAUUUCUCAUCAUUACUCUUUCUUACUGGAAUGUGCUUGCUAUCAUGACUAUUCUUCCAAAUUAACUUCAGAAAAAAGCUAUGUUCUAAAGGCAAAAGAAAGCUGGGAAAAAAAGAUUUUGCAACUCUGUGACAAAUUACUAUCAGCAAUAUAUAAAGAUCUCUUCCCAGUUGAUAAGAAAAACCUCGGCCGGGCGCGUGGCUCAUGCCUGUAAUCCCAACAUUUUGGGAGGCCGAGGCGGGCGGAUCACCUGAGGUUGGGAGUUCAAGGGCAGCCUGACCAACGUGGAGAAACCCCG
rnacentral:lncRNA from 1 species